UGGAUUCACCAGAACCUCUCACGCCACCAAGAUAAUGAAACCCAGAAGUUAAGAACACCAAGAACACUCAAGAACACUCAAGAACACUCAAGAUUUUUAAGAAAAAGGAAUCACACUCUCCCACUUUGCGCAACCUGGCUCUGAUACCAUAUACACUUUUGUGUAUUAGAGCAUGAUUCAACUAAUCAGGGAUAAUCAGAUGAGAAGAUUAAAGAGAUUAAGAGAUUUUAGUGAGAGAAUAGAGAGAGAGGCUCAAAACUCCAUUAGAUUGAUUAAUGAGAGAGUAUACAACACAUAUAGAUUAGGGAUACAUAAUUUCGUCCAGGUUCAGUCUAGCUAGGAUAAGAGGCAUGUGUAGUCAAAGAUGCUUGAUUCAAACUAGCCAAUAAGGUUCCUCACAUGCUUGGGAAUCUUGCUUUAGCUUUCACUCUUCUUCACUUGAUUUGUCUUUGAGCUCUUCAUCUCCAUCCUUGUGCUGGUCCAUGAUCAUAGCAUCCCCUCCCUCUUGAAAAGGAUUUGUCCUCAAAUCUGGC
rnacentral:lncRNA from 1 species